rnacentral:lncRNA from 1 species
UAACACCAAUAUAAAUAGAAUUCAAGAUUGCUACAGUACAUAAAGAGGUGGUAGUUUGUUUUCUUGUGCUAAUGAUAUCACAAGUUUCUAUUUAAGUUUUGUGUUGUGAAGUUUUCAAGUUUUGGGUGAUGUUCUCAUGGAAAAAGAGAUCAGGAGUGGAAAGAGCUCAAGCUUGGGCAUUCCCAAGGCAUCCCAAGACAAAUUC